UACGAAGGGGGCUAGCGUUGCUCGGAAUCACUGGGCGUAAAGCGCACGUAGGCGGAUCGUUAAGUCAGGGGUGAAAUCCUGGAGCUCAACUCCAGAACUGCCUUUGAUACUGGCGAUCUUGAGUUCGAGAGAGGUGAGUGGAACUGCGAGUGUAGAGGUGAAAUUCGUAGAUAUUCGCAAGAACACCAGUGGCGAAGGCGGCUCACUGGCUCGAUACUGACGCUGAGGUGUGAAAGCGUGGGGAGCAAACAGG
rnacentral:rRNA from 1 species